GUAGGUCAAGAUGUAGAACUCUCAGCU
rnacentral:piRNA from 1 species